AUUGAACGCUGGCGGCAGGCCUAACACAUGCAAGUCGAACGAGUGGCGAACGGGUGAGUAAUGUCUGGGAAACUGCCCGUUGGAGGGGGAUAACUACUGGAAACGGUAGCUAAUACCGCAUACCAUUGGAUGUGCCCAGAUGGGAUUAGCUCGUAGGGGGGGUAACGGACCACCUAGGCGACGAACCAUAGCUGGUCUGAGAGGAUGACCGGCCACACUGGAACGGAGACACGGCCCAGACUCCUACGGGAGGCAGCAGUGGGGAAUAUUGCACAAUGGGCGCAAGCCUGAUGCAGCCAUGCCGCGUGUAUGAAGAAGGCCUUCGGGUUGUAAAGUACUUUCAGCGAGGAGGCGUUACUCGCAGAAGAAGCACCGGCUAACUCCGUGCCAGCAGCCGCGGUAAUUC
rnacentral:rRNA from 1 species